UGACUUCCAAUUAGUCUGAUUUCUUGG
rnacentral:piRNA from 1 species